rnacentral:rRNA from 1 species
AACUCCGGGAAACCGGGGCUAAUACCGAAUGAUAAGACGUGGCGCAUGCCACGCCUUUGAAAGAUGGUUUCGGCUAUCGCUUACAGAUGGGCCCGCGGUGCAUUAGCUAGUUGGUAGGGUAAUGGCCUACCAAGGCAACGAUGCAUAGCCGACCUGAGAGGGUGAUCGGCCACACUGGGACUGAGACACGGCCCAGACUCCUACGGGAGGCAGCAGUAGGGAAUCUUCCGCAAUGGACGAAAGUCUGACGGAGCAACGCCGCGUGUAUGAAGAAGGUUUUCGGAUCGUAAAGUACUGUUGUUAGAGAAGAACAAGGAUAAGAGUAACUGCUUGUCCCUUGACGGUAUCUAACCAGAAAGCCACGGCUAACUACGUGCCAGCAGCCGCGGUAAUACGUAGGUGGCAAGCGUUGUCCGGAUUUAUUGGGCGUAAAGCGCGCGCAGGCGGUCUUUUAAGUCUGAUGUGAAAGCCCCCG